AAGACUCUACUUUCAGGGAUCAUUUCUAUAGUUCUGUACUAAAGAAGUUUCUCCCACUGAGUAGAGCCCCAAGACCACGAGGAGGAAACCUAUGUUCCCUCUUGAGCAUGAAGCCGCAUCUAGGGGCUGCUUUCCUGCAGCUGCCUAUUGACAUUGAGGAUUAUUCUCUCCCUUUGGGAGAGUGAGAGGAAAGGGA
rnacentral:snoRNA from 1 species